AUUGAACGCUGGCGGCAGGCCUAACACAUGCAAGUCGAGCGGAUGAAGGGAGCUUGCUCCUGGAUUCAGCGGCGGACGGGUGGGUAAUGCCUAGGAAUCUGCCUGGUAGUGGGGGAUAACGUCCGGAAACGGGCGCUAAUACCGCAUACGUCCUGAGGGAGAAAGUGGGGGAUCUUCGGACCUCACGCUAUCAGAUGAGCCUAGGUCGGAUUAGCUAGUUGGUGGGGUAAAGGCCUACCAAGGCGACGAUCCGUAACUGGUCUGAGAGGAUGAUCAGUCACACUGGAACUGAGACACGGUCCAGACUCCUACGGGAGGCAGCAGUGGGGAAUAUUGGACAAUGGGCGAAAGCCUGAUCCAGCCAUGCCGCGUGUGUGAAGAAGGUCUUCGGAUUGUAAAGCACUUUAAGUUGGGAGGAAGGGCAGUAAGUUAAUACCUUGCUGUCUUGACGUUACCAACAGAAUAAGCACCGGCUAACUUCGUG
rnacentral:rRNA from 1 species